rnacentral:misc_RNA from 1 species
GGAAGCUGGUGGAACGAUAUGGUACCAGAAGGCAUUCGAGAUGCUUUCUCCAGUAAAUUCAGGGAAACAGAUGCUGUUGUGGAGCAUGUAUUGAAAGAAAUGACAACGGAGCAGGAUGAGGUUAGGGAUUGCUUUUCUCGUCCUCGUCCCGUAAAAGAAGAGGGUGAAGCUUGCUCCUCUCAUCCUUGUCCCGUAAAAGAAGAAGAUUGGGG